rnacentral:misc_RNA from 1 species
AAGUCGUAACAAGGUUUCCGUAGGUGAACCUGCGGAAGGAUCAUUCAUAAAACACCAUGUUUUACAAACCUGUGUUGUUGAUCGUGUAGCCUCUUUGUUUAACCUAUUUUCCAAGUGACUGACUGACUACAUUGUAUAUGUGUAUAAACCAAUACAACUGUUGGCAACGGAUCACUCGGCUCUC